rfam:Oceanobacillus picturae, S1, WGS project CCAX01000000 data, contig: 000001
UUCUUAUCUAGAGUGACGGAGGGAAAGGCCCGUAGAUGUCACAGCAACCUUCCAUUUGGAGUGGUGCUACUUCCUUCAGAAUGAUUCAUUCUGAAAGAUAAGUG